GUACACUCCUACGGGAGGCAGCAGUGGGGAAUUUUGGACAAUGGGCGAAAGCCUGAUCCAGCAAUGCCGCGUGAGUGAAGAAGGCCUUCGGGUUGUAAAGCUCUUUUGUCAGGGAAGAAACGGUGAAAGCUAAUAUCUUUUGCUAAUGACGGUACCUGAAGAAUAAGCACCGGCUAACUACGUGCCAGCAGCCGCGGUAAUACGUAGGGUGCAAGCGUUAAUCGGCAUUACUGGGCGUAAAGCGUGCGCAGGCGGUUUUGUAAGUCUGAUGUGAAAUCCCCGGGCUCAACCUGGGAAUUGCAUUGGAGACUGCAAGGCUAGAAUCUGGCAGAGGGGGGUAGAAUUCCACGUGUAGCAGUGAAAUGCGUAGAUAUGUGGAGGAACACCGAUGGCGAAGGCAGCCCCCUGGGUCAAGAUUGACGCUCAUGCACGAAAGCGUGGGGAGCAAACAGGAUUAGAUACCCGAGUAGUCCCAUGAU
rnacentral:rRNA from 1 species